rnacentral:rRNA from 1 species
GGCCUACGGGUGGCUGCAGUGGGGAAUAUUGCGCAAUGGGGGAAACCCUGACGCAGCGACGCCGCGUGAGCGAUGAAGGCUUUAGGGUCGUAAAGCUCUGUUGUAAGGGAAGAAUGUCGAGAGUGAUAAUACCACUUUCGAAUGACGGUACCUUACGAGUAAGCCCCGGCUAACUACGUGCCAGCAGCCGCGGUAAGACGUAGGGGGCGAGCGUUGUCCGGAAUUACUGGGCGUAAAGAGCACGUAGGCGGAUAUUUAAGUCAGGUGUGAAAGACCGCAGCUCAACUGCGGGGGUGCACCUGAAACUGGGUAUCUUGAGGGCAGGAGAGGGAAGUGGAAUUCCUGGUGUAGCGGUGAAAUGCGUAGAAAUCAGGAGGAACACCAGUGGCGAAGGCGACUUUCUGGACUGACCCUGACGCUGAGGUGCGAAAGCGUGGGUAGCAAACAGGAUUAGAUACCCGAGUAGUC